rnacentral:rRNA from 1 species
GACGAACGCUGGCGGCGUGCUUAACACAUGCAAGUCGAGCGGUAAGGCCCUUUCGGGGGUACACGAGCGGCGAACGGGUGAGUAACACGUGGGUGACCUGCCCUUAGCUCUGGGAUAAGCCUGGGAAACUGGGUCUAAUACCGGAUAUGACCCCAUGACGCAUGUUGUGGGGUGGAAAGCCUUGUGCGGCUAGGGAUGGGCCCGCGGCCUAUCAGCUUGUUGGUGGGGUGAUGGCCACCAAGGCGACGACGGGUAGCCGGCCUGAGAGGGCGACCGGCCACACUGGGACUGAGACACGGCCCAGACUCCUACGGGAGGCAGCAGUGGGGAAUCUUGCGCAAUGGGCGAAAGCCUGACGCAGCGACGCCGCGUGGGGAUGACGGCC